rnacentral:rRNA from 1 species
CGAAUGCCGUCAUCUUAUACUUGGGAGUCAGACUGUGGGUGAUAAGAUUCAUAGUCGAAAGGGCAACAGCCCAGAUCGUCAGCUAAGGUCCCUAAAUGUAAGUUAAGUGGUAAAGGAUGUGGGAUUGCACAGACAACCAGGAUGUUGGCUUAGAAGCAGCCACUCAUUCAAAGAGUGCGUAAUAGCUCACUGGUCGAGUGAUCCUGCGCCGAAGAUUUCCGGGGCUAAAACUUACUACCGAAGCUACGGCAUCAGUAAUGA